UUACGGUAGUUUGGGGCGUCCUGUACGGGUUGUAGGAGAAAACUUAGUAAGAAGUGAUAAAUUAGUCGUCAGCCACUAUAUCUGUUUUUGGGGUAUUUUAUCUGCUUAAAGCCACGGCAAUGAGGUCAUGGCUUAGACUACAUUUGUUUUUAUUUUAGUUAAAACUAGGGUUAGGGUUACCCAUGUUUCUUGAGGAUGUUAUUAUUCUUCGGAAAGUGAAAAAAAAUUAGAGUCGAUCCCCCAAUUUUUAAAGUUACGUACCUGUUUAUGCGUUAAUUAGUAAUUAUAUCAGUGGUAUUCUGUCUCGCGACCAGUCCGACUGUUUAUUAAAAACAUCUCCACACGUUAUGAAUGUGUGGUAAGACCUGCCCAGUGAUUUAAACGGCCGCAGUAUUUUGACUGUGCGAAGGUAGCAUAAUUAAUUGCCCCAUAAUUGGGGGCUUGUUUGAACGGUUUAACGUGAUUGGGRCCUAGAUUACUAUUAUUAUUGAAUUUAAUAAGACCAGUACAGAAUCUGUCGKGGUUAAUUAGACGGAAAGACCCCAGGAUCUUUUAGUUUUUGUCUGGGGCAGAUUAUGCUAUUUCAGCAAUUUUGUGACCCUCAGUUUAUAGGAUUAAGUUACCCUGGGGAUAACAGGGUUAUAGUUUAUUAGAGAUCUUAUCGAAUAAACUGAUUGCUACCUCGAUGUUGACUUGUUUAUCCUUAGGCGCAGCAGCUUAAGGAUUUGGUC
rnacentral:rRNA from 1 species